rnacentral:rRNA from 1 species
GUGUCAGCAGCCGCGGUAAUACGUAGGGGGCGAGCGUUGUCCGGAAUCAUUGGGCGUAAAGCGCGUGUAGGCGGCGCGGUAAGUCUGGUGUGAAAUCUUGGGGCUCAACCCCAAGCGUGCAUCGGAUACUGCCGUGCUCGAGUCCGGGAGAGGGAAGCGGAAUUCCUAGUGUAGCGGUGAAAUGCGCAGAUAUUAGGAAGAACACCGGUGGCGAAGGCGGCUUCCUGGAACGGUACUGACGCUGAGACGCGAAAGCGUGGGGAGCGAACAGGAUUAGAUACCCUCGUAGUCC